UAACGAGCGCGCAAUGAUGACGCAACACGCAGCCUGGGUUUUUUUUUUUCUUCUUUUCUGUCUAAAAGACCGGGCAGCGGAAUUUGUCUCCUCGCCUGCUGUUGUCACGGAGGAAGAAGACCAGUGCAAAGCGAAAGUAAUUUUAUAUGCAGAAGGAAGCAGUACAAAGCCCCUUGGAGGAGUGAGGUCCCAGAGCUGGGUCACCAUUGAAUCUGGGGCCCCGUCCUGUUUUGUGGAGUGGGGACCCUGUCUCCACACCACGCCACACCCCCAAUACCCCAGUGAUUGGAUGUUGGGCUUGUUCCUGGGGGUUUGGGUUUACUGAGCUAAUUGAUGAGGGAACUUGGGUAGACAGUGUUGCCUGCAGUGGCAAACCCUUAUCAGCUUCAGAAGAAAAACCACAAAGCUGCCUAAAAACUGCUUUCCUCAGAGCCUUUUUUUUUCUACUCUCUAAAAGGACCCAGGAAACCCUACCUAAGGGUCCCUUCUAUCCCUGUACCAUGAAAUGGUUGGCUUUAUGCGUGCAUAUUAAGUUAUGUAAUGAAAGAAUGUAUUUGCCUUGCUAAGCAUGAUCAUACCUACCUGUAAUCUCAUCCACUCUGGAGCUAAGCCUGGACAAUUCCAUUAUGUAGGCAGCCUGGUCAAAUUAGUGAGUCACUGCCUCACAAUGCCUGCUCCAUGGUGAAGCUUUGGCCUGGCACUCUCAAGGCCCUGUGUUCAAUUACCAGCACUGAAAAAAAAUUAUUGAUACGAGAGAGAAAUUUGAAAACUACCUUUUUCCUCAGAAUAGAGAGGAAAAACAAAAAGAUGAAAUCAGUAAGAUUUGGAGAAAGAUAAAAGUAAAAGUCAGAAGAUUGAGAAGCAACUUUUAAUUGGCAUAAUUAUACACAUCCCCCCAGAAAUAAUGAAAAAUAUAAUAGAAAAUCUUCAUGAGCUUUCUUUGAUUAGGUUGUAGGUGAAAGAGCUCACUGAAUUCAAGCCAGAAUCAAUCUUCAAUCCUGAAGAUUCCAGAUUUCAAGAAUUAAACACUUUUUGCAAGCAUUUUCCAGGAAAUGCAUACAACCUAUAAAGGAAAAAAAAAUCAGGAAAAAUAUUUUCUGUCAAACUAAAUGCUAGACAGUAAUGACAGAACAUCUGCAAAGAUUGUAACUCAUUUUUUAGAUAACACAUUUUUUUUUCUUUCUUUUUUUUUUUCAGUACCAGAGAUCGAACUCAGGAUCUUGCGCUUGAGAGGCA
rnacentral:lncRNA from 1 species